AUAAAUGAACCUAACUCUAUUUCAAAUGCGUAACAUAAGCGACUUUAAGAAGGGCAAUAAAAAGAUCCUGCACCAGUCUCGGACAUGGUAUUUUGACUAGAUGCCCUCAGGCUCAAGACAAAAAGAACUGUCAAUAAAUAUUGAGCCUGCGGUCUUGGGUUUGUUUUCCACAGCGUACAGAUUAGCCAUUCCACAGCGAUGUCGUGUGUGUUCUAGGAUUCAGUAAACGAGACUGAGUUUGUUCACUGUCAGAGAAAACGGUUUCAGACACGGAAUGCGGAAGGCUGGAAGGAACCCACCGGUGUUGAACGGAAUCGGAGGCAGGAUAUAAUACUCCGUGGUUUCCAAAAGUAUUUGACCAUGGAACACUUUCCCAUGGGGUAUGACACAGGACUAAAGCUCAUCCGACAGCUUUCAAGAUGGGCAGAACCAGGCUGGCAGUUCGGGCGCUUCCUAGCUGGGAGAUUUGAGCAAGCUCCUUUCAUCUGCAAAAACUGGGGGAAAUGUGAGUUCUGAGAGGGGAAGCCCAGCGGAUGUGAGAAGAAAAGAGAAACUGAGGCACAAAAGUGCUGAGUAAUUGUCUUCCUUUGAUCAGAAUCACAUCUAGAAUCUCGUCCAUCCAGAAUCACAAAGUGCUAGAACCAGAAAGAGGAUUCAUGCACUCCUAAAGAACACCGUGUGGAUGCCUCCCCAGUGUCCAUCCGCUUCUCUGGGGUUUCUUCGACGCCAGCAGACGCCAACAGAAGCCUGCUCAUCAACCCGCACGACAGCCUACAAACACCAGGGAGUUAACACCCCUAGGUCCUCAACCCACAGGAGCAGAAGCCAAGGAUAAACAUCAAUACCCCCAGAGGAAGAUUCACGCUGACCUAACGUCUGUUGCCAAUCUUCCUCUUUUUGCUUGAAGAAGAUUUGCCCUGAACUAACAUCUGUGCCAGUCUUCCUCUGUUCUGUAUGGCCACAGCAUGGCCACUGACAAGUUCCGCACCCAUGAACCAAACCCAGGCUGCCAAAGGAGAGUGCACUGAACUUAACCACUAGGCCACUGGGCAGGCCCUAUUUAACCAUUUCACACCUCUUUCCAAUGUCCUUCAAAUGCACUUUGAUUAUACAAAUGUAACAUAAUUAUUAAUUACAUACAAUACAAAGCAGUAUCAUAUAAGUGAGUGCUCAAGUCUAUAAAUAUCGUGACUAUUUAGAAAAGAGGGCAAUUCCUGCGGGCUGUCAUGGUCAGAAAAGGUUUUAAAAAGGAGGAGAAAUGUUUUCUGAUCUUGCAGGAUGAAGAAGAUUCGGAUAGGUGGAAAAGAGAGGGACGGUGCCUCCCACAGGAGAGGGGCCACCUGACACAGUUGACCAUUAGUGAACCCGAGCUCCGUGCCCACCACUUUUCUAAGCAUUGUUUAUGGAUUAACUCAUUUAAUCCUCAUAAUAACUUUGUGAAGUACCUGUAUUAUUUACACUGUAUAGACAAGGAAACAGAUAUAGAGAAGUUUAAGAAACUUGCCCAAGGUCCCAUGGAGCUGGGAUUCCAACCCAGCCGGCCAACGCCAGGUCCCACACUGGCAACUCCACCAUUCUCGUUAGGCUGUCAUGUGUCUCUUUUGAGCUGAGCUGAGGAGCUAGGUUUUCAGUUUUGUUUUAAUUGUGGUAAAAUACACAUAACAUAAAAUUUACAAUCUUAGCCAUUUUUAAGUGUAAAGUUCAGCAGUGUUAAGUUUAUUCACGUUGUUGUGUAACCAAUCUCCAGAAAUUUUUCACCUUGCAAAACUGAAACUUUAUACCCAUUAAACAACAACUUUCCAUUUCCCCUCCCCCAGGAAGCCCCUGGCAACCACCAUUCUGCAUUCUGUUCCUAUGAGUUUACUAAUCUAGAGAUCUCAUACAAGUGGCAUUGUACAGUAUUCAUCCUUUUGUGUCUGCUUUUGUCAAUUAGCAUGAUGUCUUCAAGAUUCAUCUAUUUUGUAGCAUGUAUCAGAAUUUGCUUCCUUUUUAAGGCUAAAUAACAUUUUGUUGUAUGUAUAUACCGCAUUUUGUUUAUCCAUUCAUCAGCUGGUGGACAUCUGGGUUGCUUCCACCUUUCACCUAGCGUGAAUAACGCUGCUAUGAAUAUGGACAUGCAAAUGUCUGUUCAAGACCCUCUUUCAAUUCUUUUGGCUAUAUAUCCAGAAGUGGAAUUGAUGGAUCAUAUGGUAAUUCUAGUUUUAAUUUGUUGAGGGACGGCUAUCCUGUUUUCUAUAGCAGCUGUACUAUUCUAUAUUCCCAACACCAGGGCACCAGGGUUCCAAUUUCUCCACAUCCCCAGAGGAGCUAGGUUUGGACCCUUCUGAUACGAAGGCAGGACAUCUGAGUAGAACUGUCCAGGAGACAGCUGGAGACACCGACCAUGACUCAGGUGAGAGGACGUACUGCUGACAGAUUUGGAAUGUAUCCGGCGAGAAAUGGGAGAAGCCAUGAAAGAUCAAAGAGUUCACUGAUGACAGCGGAGGAAGGAGAGCAGGAGAUGGGGACUAAGUCUUGGGGAAUGGCCCAGUUGGAUGGCACAUUAAUUGGC
rnacentral:lncRNA from 1 species